rnacentral:tRNA from 1 species
AAAAUUUAACGGUGGCUUUUCAAGCCACAGAUCUUGGAGAGAGGCCGAGCGGGAAUU